CCAUCUGUGAAUCAAUAUUAUUUCUCUCUCUAAAAGCUCUCUGGAAGCUUCUGCCUAACCGACUCUCUCUCAUCUUGUUCUUCGAUUUCGUCUAGAUUUCUUGAUGUUUUCAUGGUAUCAAAGCCUAGACGAUGAUCCGACUAUACUUUUCUAUAUCUUGUUAUCUUGGUUGAAGUCUCGUUUGAAAUUUUUGGGGGUGUUUCUGACGUAUUUGGACGAUGACGAUUCCGAUUCUAGACGAUGAUCCGAGUAUACUUUUCCGCAUCUUGUUAUCUUGGUUGAAGUCUCAUUUGAAAUUUUUGGGGGUGUUUCUGACGUAUUUGGUCGAUGACGAUUCCGAUCAAAAUCGGAUGUUGAUCUGAGACUUUCAUCGUGAUAUCUGGGUAUAUAUUCUUCACUCGAACGUUUUGGGUGAUUUUUCGGUGACUUUUGGGUGAUUUCCCGGUGGCUCUUCAGAUUCUAGGGUUUCUGGUGGUUGAACCUAGGUUUUACUGCUAUCCGGUGGCUCGAUCCUCACUCAGUGGAUGUUUUGGGUGACUUUCCGACAUCCCUGACCCUAUUUCCAGUAAGGUUUUCGGCGGUUGGACCUAGGGUUUUGAACCUAGGGUUUCUUAUCUGACGAUUGAAGGUCGUUCUUCUCCGGUUGCGAAGAAGGAGGGUAACUGUAUCCUUGUUCUACGCGUUGUAUGUUUUGCAUGUGGGUUUUGAGACUGUUUUUUUUAUUUCAAACUGAUUGUUGUUCAUGGCUUCUAAUAUGAAUGCUAGUACCUCCUCAGUGGACUCUACCAGCCCCCUUUUUGU
rnacentral:lncRNA from 1 species